rnacentral:rRNA from 1 species
UACAGAGGGGGCAAGCGUUGUUCGGAAUUACUGGGCGUAAAGGGCGCGUAGGCGGCCUGCUAAGUCGAACGUGAAAUCCCCAGGCUUAACCUGGGAACUGCGUCGGAUACUGGUUGGCUUGAAUCCGGGAGAGGGAUGCGGAAUUCCAGGUGUAGCGGUGAAAUGCGUAGAUAUCAGGAAGAACACCCGUGGCGAAGGCGGCUCUCUGGGACGGUACUGACGCUGAGACGCGAAAGCGUGGGGAGCGAACAGG